rnacentral:lncRNA from 1 species
AAACUAUGUACUUUACAGAAAAUAUCAAAGUACCAAAACUAUAUAUUUUAUACUGGACAUAAAAUAUCAAAGUACUCAAACUAUAUAUUGUAUACUGUACAUAAAAUAUCAACGUACCCAAAGUAUGUAUUAUAUACUGUACAUAAUAUAUCAAAGUACCCAAAGUAUGUAUUAUAUACUGUACAUAAUAUAUCAAAGUACGCAAAGUAUGUAUUAUAUACUGUACAUAAAAUAUAAAACUACCCAAAGUAUGUAUUAUAUACUUUACAUAAAAUAUCAAAGUACCCAAAGUAUGUAUUACAUACUGUACAUAAAAUAUCAAAGUACCCAAAGUAUGUAUUACAUACUGUACAUAAAAUAUCAAAGUGCCUAAAGUAUGUAUUAUAUACUGUACAUAAAAUAUGAAAGUACCCAAACAUUUAUAAUAAACUGUACAUAAAAUAUCAAAGUACUCAAACUAUACACUGUACAUAAAAUAUCAAAGUACCAAAAAUAUAUAUUUUAUACUGGACAUAAAAUAUUAAAGUACUCAAACUAUAUAUUGUAUACUGUACAUAAAAUAUCAAAUUACCCAAUGUAAGUAUUAUAUACUGUACAUAAAAUAUCAAAGUACCCAAAGUAUGUAUUAUAUACUGUACAUAAAAUAUGAAAGUACCCAAACAUUUAUAAUAAACUGUACAUAAAAUAUCAAAGUACUGAAACUAUAUACUGUAC